UGGGGAAUAUUGGACAAUGGGCGCAAGCCUGAUCCAGCCAUGCCGCGUGAGUGAUGAAGGCCCUAGGGUUGUAAAGCUCUUUCACCGGUGAAGAUAAUGACGGUAACCGGAGAAGAAGCCCCGGCUAACUUCGUGCCAGCAGCCGCGGUAAUACGAAGGGGGCUUGCGUUGUUCGGAUUUACUGGGCGUAAAGCGCACGUAGGCGGACAAUUAAGUCAGGGGUGAAAUCCCGGGGCUCAACCCCGGAAAUGCUUUUGAUACUGUUAGUCUUGAGUUCGACAGGGGUACGUGGAGUUCCGAGUGUAGAGGUGAAAUUCGUAUAUAUUCGGAGGACACCCAGUGGCGAUGGAGGCUCACUGGCUCGAUACUGACGCUGAGGUGCGAAAGCGUGGGGAGCAAACAGG
rnacentral:rRNA from 1 species